UCUCCGUAGGUGAACCUGCGGAGGGAUCAUUACAGAGUUCAUGCCCUCUCGGGUAGAUCUCUCACCCUGUGUUAUUAUACUUUGUUGCUUUGGCAGGCUGCCCGCGUGGGCUACCGUCUCCAGCUGGUAAGUGCCUGCCAGAGGACCCCAAACUCUGAAUAUUUUAUUGUCUGAGUACUAUAUAAUAGUUUAAAACUUUCAACAACGGAUCUCUUGGUUCUG
rnacentral:misc_RNA from 1 species